rnacentral:rRNA from 1 species
AAUAUUGCACAACGGGCGAAAGCCUGAUGCAGCAACGCCGCGUGAGGGAUGACGGCCUUCGGGUUGUAAACCUCUCUGCGUAGGGAAGAAGCGAAAGUGACGGUACCAUCAGAAAAAGCACCGGUUAACUACCUGCCAGCAGCCGCGGUAAUACGGAGGGUGCAAGCGUUGUCCGGAAUUGUUGGGCGUAAAGAGCUCGUAGGCGGCUUGUCGCGUAUGCCGUGAAAACCCUGGGCUCAACCCUGUGCGUGCGGUGGGUACGGGCAGGCUAGAGUGCGGUAGGGGAGAUUGGAAUUCCUGGUGUAGCGGUGGAAUGCGCAGAUAUCAGGAGGAACACCGAUGGCGAAGGCAGAUCUCUGGGCCGUAACUGACGCUGAGGAGCGAAAGCAUGGGGAGCGACCA